rnacentral:pre_miRNA from 1 species
AGUGGAAUAGCUAGGUUAUAUAGUGACUCCAUUUCUAGUUUUUUUGAGGAACCUCCAUAUUGCUUUAAAAAAAUGGCUGUACUAAUUUGUCGUCCUACCAACAAU